GACGUAGGGCGCGAGCGUUGUCCGGAUUUAUUGGGCGUAAAGAGCUCGUAGGCGGCUUGUCGCGUCGACUGUGAAAACCCGCGGCUCAACUGCGGGCCUGCAGCCGAUACGGGCAGGCUAGAGUUCGGUAGGGGAGACUGGAAUUCCUGGUGUAGCGGUGAAAUGCGUAGAUAUCUGGAGGAACACCGGUGGCGAAGGCGGCAUCCUGGACCGGUAUUGACGCUGAGGCGCGAAAGCUAGGGGAGCAAACGGG
rnacentral:rRNA from 1 species